rnacentral:rRNA from 1 species
AACGAACGCUGGCGGCAUGCCUAACACAUGCAAGUCGAACGAGACCUUCGGGUCUAGUGGCGCACGGGUGCGUAACGCGUGGGAACCUGCCCUUAGGUUCGGAAUAACUCCCCGAAAGGGGUGCUAAUACCGGAUAAUGUCUUCGGACCAAAGAUUUAUCGCCUUUGGAUGGGCCCGCGUUGGAUUAGCUAGUUGGUAGGGUAAAAGCCUACCAAGGCGACGAUCCAUAGCUGGUCUGAGAGGAUGAUCAGCCACACUGGGACUGAGACACGGCCCAGACUCCUACGCGAGGCAGCAGUGGGGAAUAUUGGACAAUGGACGAAAGCCUGAUCCAGCAAUGCCGCGUGAGUCAUGAAUGCCUUAGUGUUGUAAAGCUCUUUUACCCGGGAUGAUAAUGACAGUACCGGGAGAAUAAGCUCCGGCUAACUCCGUG